CAGGGAUUGCCCUAGUAACGGCGAGUGAAGCGGCAACAGCUCAAAUUUGAAAUCUGGCUCUUUUAGGGUCCGAGUUGUAAUUUGCAGAGGGUGCUUUGGCAAAGGUUGUGGUCUAAGUUCCUUGGAACAGGACGUCACAGAGGGUGAGAAUCCCGUACGUGGCCGCCAACCCGCGCUAUGUAAAGCCCCUUCGACGAGUCGAGUUGUUUGGGAAUGCAGCUCUAAAUGGGAGGUAAAUUUCUUCUAAAGCUAAAUAUUGGCCAGAGACCGAUAGCGCACAAGUAGAGUGAUCGAAAGAUGAAAAGCACUUUGGAAAGAGAGUCAAAAAGCACGUGAAAUUGUUGAAAGGGAAGCGCUUGCAGCCAGACUUGCCUGUAGUUGCUCAUCCGGGCUCUUGCCCGGUGCACUCUUCUAUGGGCAGGCCAGCAUCAGUCUUGGCGGUCGGAUAAAUGCGUGCUAAACGUACCUCUCUUCGGGGAGGACUUAUAGGGCACGCGGCAUACGACCAGCCGGGACUGAGGUCCGCGCAUCUGCUAGGAUGCUGGCGUAAUGGCUGUAAGCGGCCCGUCUUGAAACACGGACCAAGGAGUCUAACAUCUAUGCGAGUGUUUGGGUGUCAAGCCCGAGCGCGUAAUGAAAGUGAACGGAGGUGGGAACCCCUCGGGGUGCACCAUCGACCGAUCCUGAUGUCUUCGGAUGGAUUUGAGUAAGAGCAUAGCUGUUGGGACCCGAAAGAUGGUGAACUAUGCCUGAAUAGGGUGAAGCCAGAGGAAACUCUGGUGGAGGCUCGCAGCGGUUCUGACGUGCAAAUCGAUCGUCAAAUUUGGGCAUAGGGGCGAAAGACUAAU
rnacentral:rRNA from 1 species